UACGAAGGGGGCUAGCGUUGUUCGGAUUUACUGGGCGUAAAGCGCACGUAGGCGGCUUGUUAAGUCAGGGGUGAAAUCCCACAGCUCAACUGUGGAACUGCCUUUGAUACUGGCAAGCUAGAGUCCGGAAGAGGUAAGUGGAACUCCUAGUGUAGAGGUGGAAUUCGUAGAUAUUAGGAAGAACACCAGUGGCGAAGGCGGCUUACUGGUCCGGAACUGACGCUGAGGUGCGAAAGCGUGGGGAGCAAACAGG
rnacentral:rRNA from 1 species